GCCGAAGUGGCGGAAUGGUAGACGCGGCGGACUUAAAAUCCGCUGUCCGCAAGGGCGUGUGAGUUCGAAUCUCACCUUCGGCA
rnacentral:tRNA from 1 species